rnacentral:rRNA from 1 species
GUAAUAUAAGUUUUUCUAUUUGGAAUGGUCUUAGGCCUAAUUCCUAUUGGUUUAGCGGGAUUAUUCGUGACUGCGUAUUUGCAAUACAGGCGUGGGGAUCAGUUGGAUCUUUGA